CUCAUAUUUAAGCAAAGGAAACAGGAAGUGUCGCCUUUUCCCCUUCCUUCUCCAGCAGCGCCAUGUGAGCCAUCGGCAAGAAAGGGUGCCAGCGAAAGGCAUCCUCUAUAAGAACUGCCGACUCAGAACAUGUUUGAGGUUGGAGCUGAAGCAGAUGCCAUGGUUUGAAGAGGGCCACUGCAGUGAGGCAGAGACUCCAUGGACAACUGCAAGAAGGAACAGAAAAUGACUUGCUGGGACCUACGUACAGCGUGGGGAGCUGUCAAUCAUAGGCAUUAUCCAUCUGAAACUUACUGAGAAGCUAGAUCUUCAGAGUUCUCACCACAGAGGAGGGGAGAAGGCAUGACGGCUCAAAUGAUAAGGGCACUCAUGGCCAAGCCUGAUGACUUGAGUUCAACCUCCAGAAACCACAUGAUGAAUGGCAACAUGGUUGUAAACUUAGAAGGUGGUGAACAAAUGCCUUCAUUUCUCCAUGCCCUCUCUGCAAAGACUUUUGUCGAGAUAAACAGAUGCAUGCUUCUGAGGGAGCCAGGUAAGCACUUUCAUCCUUUGCUUUGUUCAGAGGCUCAUGUGUGGCAUCAUCAGGGCCUGCUCAUCUCACUGCAGUGUUAAAUUGUAGCUGUGCCUUUAUGCUGAGUGGAAGAGAAAAUAUUGGAAAGAGCAGCUCUUGUGUUCCCUGCAUGGGCUAUCAGACUAACACCUUUGGCGGAACAAAAUGCUGCUCUCACCUCAAAGGGAAUAAGAGAUGGUUUAUUCUUUAAAGAUUUAUUUAUUAUAUGAUGUUCUGCCUGCAUAUAUCCCUGCACACCGGAAGAGGGCACCAGAUCUCAUUACAGAUGGUUGUGAGCCACCAUGUGGUUGCUGGGAAUUAAACUCGGGACCUCUGGAAGAGCAGCCAAUGCUCUUAAGCUCUGAGCCAUCUCUCCAGCCCCAAGAUGUUUUUUUCUUGAGUGAGCUACCUUGGCCCAGGAACAUGAAUUCAGGUUGCCACAAAUAACACAUUCCAAUUUGGAAACAGUUUUGUGAAGUUCUCAUAGUUACAGGCCAAAAGAAAGCCACUCAUCAGGGCUUUCAGAUGCUAUCUGGUGACAGUCUUGACUCGUGAAUUUGUAGAAACCAACGACAGAGUACAUUACUACUAGGUUUCUCCCGAUAGUCACAAGGUUCUUUGGACGGACACUGAGGCUGGCAAAGAAUGGCUGUGAAGGGGACCUAAGGAUAGUCCCUGACCACUUCUGCAACUUUCCAACUCUACCAAAUCAGGAAAUAUAAUCAGCCAUGAAGAUCUUUUCACAUGGGUGUAGCUUUUUUCCAGGAACUUCAGAUCAAAUCUUUUCCCCCUCACUUGCAAAGUUAGCAUAUUUAGCAGGCACACAGGAAAGCUAAAGCUGACCUCCAAAGAAAAGAUGCGAAAGGCUUCCAAGUUCCACAUCUGUCCAGGGAAUAGACUUGGGGACAGAACUGCCAAGCUGGGAUGGGUAGGGGGUCUUACACCCCUACAAAACCUUACCAAAUUUAUAGUCUUCGGCCCAGUAGGAUGAUGGCACUAUAGUAGCAGCCAGAGUCUAAACUCCACAACUCUUACACAUUUAGGGAGCAGAGCUACAGACUACAAAGCAGAUGCCAGUCCUGGAAGUAUGUCUCAUACGCACAGCAACAAAAUGUUUCUCUGGUUGAGGCAAGUAGAUACAGAGCAGUCUUUAAAUAGCAGUUCUGCCCAAAGGGCAGGCUUCUCUCCUGACUGGUACUGGUUACAGCAGAAAUACCAGAGAUUUCACUGCCCAUUUGUACUUUAGAGGCGCAGACAUACUGCACACUGUGUAAUGCAGAACACGUGUUGGUCACUUCACUUACAUUAAACUUACAUGCCUUUAACUCUGAAAACUCCUGCAUACUAUCUAAAGCUUAGACACUGUAUCAGUUACUUCUCUGUUUCUGUGAUAAAAAUGAUCAUAGAAACUUACAGGAGUUUCUUUGGGUUUAUGGUUCCAAAGGAAUAGGAGUCCAUUGUGAUGGGUAGACAUGGCAGCCAGCAGCAGGCAUGGGGUAGCCGGAGCAGGAAGCUAAAAGGUCAUGUCAUUUACUGGACUUAGGGCCUAUAUUAGGCUAUAUACCCUCAAAGUCUUCCCCAAGUGACCACUUCUCCCAGCAAUUCUGCACCUUCUAACCCUUCCCCCAAACAACUGGGGACCAAAUAUUCAAACCCCUGAGCUUAUAGGAGAUAUUUUCACUCAAAUCACUCCAGGCACGCAGAUUUACACAGCUUUUGCCAUUGAUCACAAGGCAGUAAGUGCACUUGAGCCUCCUUAAAAUAGCCACUGUUUGUAAGUGGUCAUUUAAGAUUCACACAUAAACAGACGCUUAGAUGAACCUUGACUUUGUUAAUUUACAGUUUCCUCGGUAGUCAAAAACCUUACAAAAUCAGCAAAAAUAUAAGCAAUUGUCUUUCAUUUUUGUUUUUCGAGACAGAGUUUCCCUGUGUGGUCCUGGCUGUUCUGGAACCCACUCUGGAGACCAGGCUGGUCUCAAACUCAGAGAUAGGUCCACCUCUACCUCCCGAGUACUAGGAUUAAAGGUGUGCAGCACCAUAGCCUGGCAUAAACAAUUAUAUUAACAAAACAUAAAAGCCAAAAAAAUAAAAAGGCCAGGCGUUGGUGGCUCAUGCCUUUAAUCCCAGCACUCAGAAGGUAGAGGCAGGUGGAUCUCUGAGUUCAAGGCCAGCCUGGUCUACAGAGUGAGUUCCAGGACAACCUCCAAAGAUACACAGAGAAACCCUGUCUCAAAAAACAAAACAAAAAAAAAAACCUAUAAAAGUCUAUUAGUUACGCUUUCAUGUUUAUAAGGCAAAUAAUUACAGAAAUGGGUUUU
ensembl:lincRNA